GACGAACGCUGGCGGCGCGCCUAACACAUGCAAGUCGAACGAGAGAGAGGGAGCUUGCUUCCUCAAUCGAGUGGCGAACGGGUGAGUAACGCGUGAGGAACCUGCCUCAAAGAGGGGGACAACAGUUGGAAACGACUGCUAAUACCGCAUAAGCCCACAGGUCGGCAUCGACCAGAGGGAAAAGGAGCAAUCCGCUUUGAGAUGGCCUCGCGUCCGAUUAGCUAGUUGGUGAGGUAAUGGCCCACCAAGGCAACGAUCGGUAGCCGGACUGAGAGGUUGAACGGCCACAUUGGGACUGAGACACGGCCCAGACUCCUACGGGAGGCAGCAGUGGGGAAUAUUGCACAAUGGGGGAAACCCUGAUGCAGCGACGCCGCGUGGAGGAAGAAGGUCUUCGGAUUGUAAACUCCUGUUGUUGAGGAAGAUAAUGACGGUACUCAACAAGGAAGUGA
rnacentral:rRNA from 1 species